CCUUAGAUCUCAGAGGAUGCCAGGAGAGACAAAGUCUACAAAGACUCCACCUCCUGCCAGCAUGAGGGCUUCCAUCUGGCUUCAUGGCACCAAAGCAUCAGCUAAGGCUCUUCCUCUAAAAUGAAGCCAUAAAGGAUGCAGGCCAGUACAUCAGCUGAGUGCUGUGCUUAUCUGGCCUUCAGCCAAACACCCACUUGCGCUUCACACCAAUGUACCAGGACAAGGAUUAAAGGUAAAAUGUAGGAAAUGAAUGGAAAGAUGAGUAAAGAACUCACCCCAAAGCCACCCAGCUGAUGUGUGUUGAACCCAAAGGAAUUGAUCUUUUCAUUUAUUAUUUUGGUCCAAGAAUGGCACUAGAACUCAGUACCUAAUGCUUUCACUGAUUGGCUACUGCUGUACCAACUGAGCCAAGCCUCCAACCCCAGGAAUUGACCUUUUCUAUCAAGUUCAUUCUCAAGAACGCCACACUUGCAUAGCUUCAGGCUAGAGCUGUAUC